GCUGGCGGCACGCCUAACACAUGCAAGUCGAACGAAGUAGCAAUACUUAGUGGCAGACGGGUGAGUAACAUGUAGGUAUCUACCCUUUGGCCUGGAAUAACACGAGGAAACUUGUGCUAAUACUGGAUAAGUCUUUACGGAGAAAGCUUUAUGCACCAUUGGAUGAGCCUGCACUUGAUUAGUUUGUUGGUGGGGUAAUGGCCUACCAAGACUUUGAUCAAUAGCUGAUUUGAGAGGAUGAUCAGCCACAUUGGGACUGAGACACGGCCCAAACUCCUACGGGAGGCAGCAGUGGGGAAUCUUGCACAAUGGAGGAAACUCUGAUGCAGCGAUGCCGCGUGAGUGAAGAAGGCCCUUGGGUUGUAAAGCUCUUUCGUCGGGGAAGAAAAUGACUGUACCCGAAUAAGAAGGUCCGGCUAACUUCGUGCCAGCAGCCGCGGUAAUACGAAGGGACCUAGCGUAGUUCGGAAUUACUGGGCUUAAAGAGUUCGUAGGUGGUUGAAAAAGUUGGUGGUGAAAUCCCAGAGCUUAACUCUGGAACUGCCAUCAAAACUUUUCAGCUAGAGUAUGAUAGAGGAAAGCAGAAUUUCUAGUGUAGAGGUGAAAUUCGUAGAUAUUAGAAAGAAUACCAAUUGCGAAGGCAGCUUUCUGGAUCAUUACUGACGCUGAGGAACGAAAGCAUGGGUAGCGAAGAGGAUUAGAUACCCUCGUAGUCCAUGCCGUAAACGAUGUGUGUUAGACGUUGGAAAUUUAUUUUCAGUGUCGCAGUGAAAGCGAUAAACACACCGCCUGGGGAGUACGACC
rnacentral:rRNA from 1 species